GAGGGUGUAGCUCAGUGGUAGAGCACAUGCCUAGCAUGCAUGAGGUCCUGGGUUCAGUCCCGGUACCUCUA
rnacentral:tRNA from 1 species